CCUACGGGAGGCAGCAGUAGGGAAUAUUGCUCAAUGGGGGAAACCCUGAAGCAGCAACGCCGCGUGAAGGAUGAAGGUUUUCGGAUUGUAAACUCCUUUUGUUAGAGAAGAUAAUGACGGUACCUAACGAAUAAGCACCGGCUAACUCCGUGCCAGCAGCCGCGGUAAUACGGAGGGUGCAAGCGUUACUCGGAAUCACUGGGCGUAAAGAGAGCGUAGGCGGGAUAGCAAGUCAGAUGUGAAAUCCUAUGGCUUAACCCUAGAACUGCAUUGGAAACUGUUAGUCUAGAGUAUGGGAGAGGUAUGUGGAAUUCGUGGUGUAGCGGUGAAAUCCGUAGAGAUCAAGAGGAAUACCCAUUGCGAAGGCGACCUGCUAGAGCAUAACUGACGCUGAUGCGCGAAAGCGUGGGGAGCAAACAGGAUUAGAUACCCGUGUAGUC
rnacentral:rRNA from 1 species